rnacentral:rRNA from 1 species
UACAGAGGGUGCAAGCGUUGUUCGGAAUUACUGGGCGUAAAGCGCACGUAGGCGGAUUUGUAAGUCAGGGGUGAAAUCCCGGGGCUCAACCUCGGAACUGCCUUUGAUACUGCGAAUCUUGAGUCCGAUAGAGGUGGGUGGAAUUCCUAGUGUAGAGGUGAAAUUCGUAGAUAUUAGGAAGAACACCAGUGGCGAAGGCGGCCCACCUGGAUCGGUACUGACGCUGAGGUGCGAAAGCGGUGGGGAGCAAACAGG